rnacentral:rRNA from 1 species
AUUGAACGCUGGCGGCAGGCCUAACACAUGCCAGUCGAGCGGAUGAAGGGAGCUUGCUCCUUGAUUCAGCGGCGGACGGGUGAGUAAUGCCUAGGAAUCUGCCUGGUAGUGGGGGAUAACGUCCGGAAACGGGCGCUAAUACCGCAUACGUCCUGAGGGAGAAAGUGGGGGAUCUUCGGACCUCACGCUAUCAGAUGAGCCUAGGUCGGAUUAGCUAGUUGGUGGGGUAAAGGCCUACCAAGGCGACGAUCCGUAACUGGUCUGAGAGGAUGAUCAGUCACACUGGAACUGAGACACGGUCCAGACUCCUACGGGAGGCAGCAGUGGGGAAUAUUGGACAAUGGGCGAAAGCCUGAUCCAGCCAUGCCGCGUGUGUGAAGAAGGUCUUCGGAUUGUAAAGCACUUUAAGUUGGGAGGAAGGGCAGUAAGUUAAUACCUUGCUGUUUUGACGUUACCAACAGAAUAAGCACCGGCUAACUUCGUG